GGAACUAGUGGCCCCAUGAAAUUACUGAUAGGACGCAUGGAAGGUAGCUCCGUUUUGUACCAUCAAAAUAUGCAGAAGCCAGACAACAUAGUUUAGAUUGAGCCACCAUUAAAAUCGAUAGAGCAAUAUAUCCCCAAGCAACCAGGAGACAGUGAGCAGGUUAGUUAUACACAACAGCAAACCAAUCUGUGAGUAAAGCGACGCUGAGACUCAAACCAACUCUGAUUCCAAGCAAUACUGUUGGUAUGGAAGGGAACACAGAGAAUGGAGUGGAGUUCACAAGAGCCGAUGAAGCCCUAAACAGGCUGCAGAAAACCUUUCCAGUUGAAAGAGAGCCCAGUACCCAGCAGAGAGGCAGAAGUGGAAAAACAGAUAAGCACACUAGGCUACAAACAGUGACGCCCAAGACCAGUUUAUCGUAUAUUGAGACAAUAGUACUUCACCCUACCCCCAAUACAGUCAAGACUCUAUUGUCCCCAAGAACCUGUUGUUCUCUAAGAAGUAACGAUAGAAUUAGCCAAAGCCAAUGAGAUACAUGGACAUUGAAAAGACAAUAUAAAAGAGGAAAUUAGCACGGAGCCUCCAAAGAGGCUGAAAAUGUUCAUCUCUACAAAUGAUUUACCGGACACCUGGAGAUGUUAUUAUCCCCAACUACAAAGGACUAUUCCAUUUUUUUCUGAAACAUUAGUGAGGUCAGUCACCGACGUUGGGCGAUUCGGCCUGCCUCGCAGUCGGCAUUCCAAUUCAUCCCAAAGGUGUUCGAUGGGGUUGAGGGACAUUGUCAUGCUGAAACAGGAAAGGACCUUCCACAAACUGUUGCCACAAGGUUGGAGGCACAAUAUCGUCUAGAAUGUCAUUGUAU
rnacentral:lncRNA from 1 species